AAAGGAAACUGUCCUUGGCAGAAUCAUGGCAGUAUACUCUUAGGUUACUACCGAAAAUAAGGCAAAUUGGAGAAAUGUUCUGGUCUUGGUUCAAACCUUCCCCUUCAGCCUUAUGUCCAUCAUUUAAUUACAUGCUGUGAUAGAAAGAGUAGUGCCCCUCCCCCAAGAUGGCCAUGUCCUAAUCCCCCAAACCUGUGAAUAUGUAACUUUACAUGGCAAAAGGGAUUUUAGAGAUGGAAUUAAUGAAGUGCUUUGAGCUGGGAGAGUAUCCAGGUGUGCCCAAUGAGGUCACAAGGUUCUAAAAAGGGGAAAAGGAAGGCAGCCAUGUUAAAGGAGUUCUGACCACAGAAGCUGCCGUGGGAGUUGCACAACCACAAACCAAGGGAUAUAGUCUCUAGAGGCUAAACAAUGGAAAAACAACAUUUCUCUCCUAGAACCUUCAGAGCGACCAUGAUCCUACCCACAUCUUGAUUUCAGCCCAGGGAAAUCCAUUUGAGAACUUCUGACCUUCAGAACGAAAAAUAGUGGACACAGUCCUUUAUGAUCGCACUCAAUGAGCAACUGCCAAAUCAUAAGCCAGUGAAGAAGACAGCAUGAAUACAGGAAAAGUGACUUAAAAAAAAAUACUUCAAGUGCCAAAGGAGUGGUACAACAAAGGAUCCAGGACUGCAGUGGAAGAGAGCUCUUAAACUGUGGUCAAGGAAGGAUGAACUGAGCCAGGACCAGGACUUGCUUUUCCACAUAAGAGGGUGUGACUCAAAGGGCCACAGAAAGAAUCGGAGGAAUUAUUUAUAACCUCCUCCCCACAACCUUGGACAUGUCUAUCUGAUUUAUACCAUCUUUUUUUCCUAGACCUAUUGUCUCCCUGAAAGUUUUCUCUAGGGCAAAUCUGUCUUUAUAACCAAUAUCCCUAUCAUUCAUUUGCCUGAUCUUUCUAAGUAAAACCCUUAAUUGCCAGACGUGAGUUCCAACACCUUUAAAAUACGCGUCACAAAAUGGAUGUGCAGAUCAACAAGAAUGCCCUGGACAGGGCUUCAAACAGCAUGAAAUACCAGAGGGGUCUUUCUAAAAUGCAAGUCUCUGGAUACAAGGCCUUCCUCAUGAUCCUCUCCAGCCAAACCAAAUGUUUUUGGCUUUCAAAGCUUUGGAGCUUUCUCAAGUGCAGAUUAUGGAUUUGGCUAUAAUUUGAAUAAUCUGAAGGUGAGACAUGUUAGAAUCAGGUAGAUCACAGCCUGCAUUUUCCUCAAGAAGAAACUGAGGGCCACCCAGGGAAAAUUCAUUGUUCCAAGUUCACAACUAACUAAUGACAUAGAUGAACCAGAAUCCAUUUCCCGGAUUCUAUUCUGUAAUCCCAUCACAGUGGGGAUUGCUCACUUCACGUUACACCAUCUCUCUUCACUGCCCUGCAACUUGGUGGUCACAUCCAACAUCCAGGUAACAGGUGAGGGGAAUGGAACCGCAGCAGCUACAUCUAUACAGAGACCUGAUGUUAACAGUUAAUUCCUAGAGAAAUUAUGAAACCCUUUAGAGAUUAGAACAUUACAACUAAAGACAUUUUUAAAGAGGAUUAGAAUGGCUCAUGUUUGACCUCUGAGAGGACUCUAAGUUAAUACAGAGUUUCCUUCAGGGGUGGCAUGUGAGAAAGUGGAAUGUGGUUCACAGACAAAUCUUUUUCAUCUUAUUAAAUCACUGCGUAUGUAUUUUUAUAGUUACCUUCCAUUUAGUUCCAUGGGAUACUGGUUUUCCCAUUUCCAAUAGUGACAUUAAUUUCCUUUUAAAAAAUAUGUUUAAAAACCAAUUUAAAUGAAAUGAUUAAGAAAAUAAUGUUAGAAAUGGCAUCUGGAUAUGAAAAAAAAUCAUAAAGGUAGUACAUGUAUGAAAGAAUCUUGGGAAACAAUUUUCAAAGAGGUAUUUUUUUCCUGGUAAGAUUAAGAUUCAAAAAGGUAUAUCUAUUAUUUGUGUUACUUUGCUUAACAUUUCUCACAGGAGGAUUUCAAACAUGGUUUUUAUGCCACAGCCCACAUGGAAAACUACUAGAUAAAAGGAUGGAACUGCUCAUGAUAGAGGUGACAGCAGCCUAGGAGAUUCCAAUUCCCCUUGGCCCUGCCUCACUGCUGGAGAUUUCAAAGAAUCAGUACCUCAGGCGUCCCUUUAACCCAAGAGGGUGCACUCACUGAGAAGCCCUGACGUACCUCAAGGCAGGUUCUCUUUCUGAAACAGGAACAGAAAUGAAAGGACAGCUCUGUUCCCUGCUAAUAAGUAGCAAUCAGGAGGACUUGGACAAGGACAAUAUUAGAUACGAACAGAUACCUACCAUUGCUCACCAUCCGCCUGGCCACUUCCC